rnacentral:lncRNA from 1 species
AUUCUAUGUAGUGACUGCUAAUUUUUAUCCCCAUUUCAGAUGAUGAAACUCACCAGAGACCACAUAGCUAGAGAAUGGCCAAAUUCGGUUUUGAAUCUAGGCAAUCUUGACACCCCCCAUCCAGAGCCCUCCAGCUUAAAGCAAAAUAGAGUAUUGACAAUACUACAUCAGUAUUCCCAUUCUCCAGUUUGUGUAUGUGUGUUUGUUGAGGUUUUACUGAUUCUUGACAUUUUUAUGUGGGACCGAUGCUCCAUAUGACCACCGAAAACAGAGGCUCAGCAGAGAGGCCAGUAAUUGGAAUUGUUAUUCUCACCUAUUCUUCCUUCAACAUGAAGAUGGCGUCUCGCCCACAGAAAAACUGUGCUGACCUCUGGAAUAGAAUCAACAUCCAGCGCUGUCCCAGGAAGAUGGGUUCAAUGUCAGGGGGACUGUGGAGAACUGUACUGUUACAGAGUUGCUGGGGGAUCUGCCAGCUCUGCCUUGCCCUGGAGGAAGGAUUUUAUAAAAUGAGUCAACUCGUCUUGCCCUAACCUAUUGUCCAUCAAGGAAUCUCCUUACAAAUACUAUUCUCUAAGUUCCGUGAUAAUUGAAAACAUGUAUGAAGAAAACCACAGAUAAUAUAGUUGCUAUGCAAACAGAAACGAACUAUACAUUAGAACAGAAAUAGAAAACUAAUAGAUAUGUAAAACUUUUCUAGAUUGGUACAGGCUGUCCAUCCCCGAACCAAUUAAACAUUGGUAAGGGACAUGGAAUUCAG